rnacentral:rRNA from 1 species
UGCCAGCCGCCGCGGUAAUACGGAAGGUCCAAGCGUUAUUCGGAAUUAUUGGGCGUAAAGGGCUCGCAGGCUGCUUGAACAGUUAGACGUGAAAUCCCCGGGCUCAACCUGGGAACUGCGUUUAAUACUAGCAAGCUAGAGAAAUAGAGAGGAAAGUGGAACUCCCAGUGUAGAGGUGAAAUUCGUAGAUAUUGGGAAGAACACCAGUGGCGAAAGCGACUUUCUGGCUAUUUUCUGACGCUGAGGAGCGAAAGCGUGGGGAGCGAACAGGAUUAGAUA